AACGCGAAGAACCUUACCUGGGCUCGAAAUGUUAUGGACCGGAGUAGAAAUAUUCCUUCCCCGCAAGGGGCCGUAAUAUAGGUGCUGCAUGGCUGUCGUCAGCUCGUGUCGUGAGAUGUUGGGUUAAGUCCCGCAACGAGCGCAACCCUUGUCCUGUGUUGCCACUCCCCUUAAAAGGAAGCACUCGCAGGAGACCGCCAGCGAUAAGCUGGAGGAAGGUGGGGAUGAUGUCAAGUCAUCAUGGCCUUUAUGUCCAGGGCUACACACGUGCUACAAUGGGCGGUACAAAGCGCUGCAAACCCGCGAGGGGGAGCUAAUCGCAAAAAACCGUUCUCAGUUCGGAUCGCAGGCUGCAACUCGCCUGCGUGAAGCUGGAAUCGCUAGUAAUGGUGUAUCAGAAUGAUACCGUGAAUACGUUCCCGGGCCUUGUACACACCGCGCA
rnacentral:rRNA from 1 species